UGGCUCUCGCAUCGAUGAAGAACGCAGCGAAAUGCGAUAAGUAAUGUGAAUUGCAGAAUUCAGUGAAUCAUCGAAUCUUUGAACGCACCUUGCACCCUUUGGUAUUCCGAGGGGUACACCCGUUUGAGUGUCAUUGUAAUCUCACUCCGACAACUUCAUUGUUGUCUGGAGGUGGACUUGGACCUUGCCGUGUCACAACGGCUGGUCUGAAAUGCAUGAGUGCACCCUGCUGUAGCAGCGUCUUCAGUGUGAUAAGUAUCUUCACUGAUCCAAGCUCCCUUCUUGGGACACGCUCGUCUGGUGGGCUCUGAGCUUCUAAAUGUCCGCAUGGACAACUCUUGACAAUUUGACCUCAAAUCGGGUGGGAUUACCCGCUGA
rnacentral:misc_RNA from 1 species